GCCAAGCAUGGUGGCACAUGCUUGUAAUCCCAGCUACUUGGGAGGCUGAGGCAGGAGGAUCGCUUGAACCCAGGAGCUGGAGGUUGCAGUGAGCUGAGAUUGCACCACUGCACUCCAGCCUGGGUGACAGAGUGAGACUCUAUCUCAA
rnacentral:SRP_RNA from 1 species